rnacentral:rRNA from 1 species
GACGAACGCUGGCGGCGUGCUUAACACAUGCAAGUCGAACGGAAAGGCCCCUUUGGGGGUACUCGAGUGGCGAACGGGUGAGUAACACGUGAGUAACCUGCCCUUGCCUUCGGGAUAACUUCAGGAAACUGGGGCUAAUACCGGCUCGGAAUCCUUGCUGCAUGGUGGGGGUUGGAAAGCUUCGGCGGUUUUGGAUGGACUGGCGGCUUAUCAGCUUGUUGGUGGGGUAGUGGCUUACCAAGGCUUUGUCGGGUAGCCGGCCCGAGAGGGCGACCGGCCACAUUGGGACCGAGAGACGGCCCAGGCUCCGAAGGGAGGCAGAAGUGGGGAAGAUUGCACAAUGGGCGGAAGCCGGAUGCAGAAACGCCGCGUGCGGGAUGACGGCCUUCGGGUUGGAGAACGCUUUCAGCAGGGGCGAAGCUUGUGGUGACGGUACCUGCAGAAGAAGCACCGGCUAACUACGUG